rnacentral:lncRNA from 1 species
CGAAAUGUCGUCAGACCUUCGAACAGACUCCAGGUAAAGUACAGGGGCGUGUAUCUCAGCAGCGCAUUGGUCAAGCUGGGUGAUUGACACGUCUAUAGAACCGUCAGAGCCAGUAGAAUCGACGGACAGCAUCACGGACACCAUUCGCUAUCUGUGAGGGGGCGAACCCACUGUGACGCGUUUUUCCCGACGCCAUUUGACAUGCGACUUCCGCAUGUGUAGUCGGAGUAGGAGGAGCAGGCGUUGAUUAACAUCUUGAAAUGAGGAGCGGUCUUUGUGCUAAGCCAACGGAAUCGGAUUUAUGGAUCAAGACACAACUUUUCCCGCAAAUACUUCGACGAGGAGCAGGGAGAGCAGAGGCCUGAGUAGAGGAAAAUGAUCGUCCUAAGUGGAAACCUUUAUCAGAUGGACACACCCUUCACCGGAAAUUUUGU